rnacentral:rRNA from 1 species
UCGACGGCGGUGUUUGGCACCUCGAUGUCGGCUCAUCACAUCCUGGGGCUGAAGUCGGUCCCAAGGGUAUGGCUGUUCGCCAUUUAAAGUGGUACGCGAGCUGGGUUUAGAACGUCGUGAGACAGUUCGGUCCCUAUCUGCCGUGGGCGUUUGAGAAUUGAAGAGGGCUGCUCCUAGUACGAGAGGACCGGAGUGGACGAACCACUGGUGUUCGGGUUGUCAUGCCAAUGGCAUUGCCCGGUAGCUACGUUCGGAACUGAUAACCGCUGAAAGCAUCUAAGCGGGAAGCAGGCUUUGAGAUGAGUUCUCACUGGAGCUUUAAGCUCCCUAAAGGGUCGUUGGAGACUACAACGUUGAUAGGUCAGGUGUGUAAGGGUUGUGAGGCCUUGAGCUAACUGAUACUAAUUACCCGUGAGGCUUAAC